UACGGGGGGGGCAAGCGUUGUUCGGAAUUACUGGGCGUAAAGGGCUCGUAGGCGGCCAACUAAGUCAGACGUGAAAUCCCUCGGCUUAACCGGGGAACUGCGUCUGAUACUGGAUGGCUUGAGGUUGGGAGAGGGAUGCGGAAUUCCAGGUGCAGCGGUGAAAUGCGUAGAUAUCAGGAGGAACACCUGUGGUGUAGACAGCUUACUGGACCAUUUCUGACGCUGAGACACGAAAGCGUGGGUAGCAAACAGG
rnacentral:rRNA from 1 species